rnacentral:lncRNA from 1 species
CGAGACCGCUGUGAUGCGUGGCAGCAGCGGGGUGGUGCGGAUGGUGCGGGGCUGCGGCUCAGAGAGCUGGUUCUAUUCCAGGGUCACAGUACUCAUCACAGCAGUGAUCUAGGUGCAGCGAGGCGCGCGGGGACGGUCAUUCACGACAGAACGACAAGGGGACGAACACCUACAGCCCUAGGACCAGAUGACCCCACAAAGAACGCAGCUGGUGGCCACAGGUCCCGCCGACCCUCGAGGCCCCAAAACCUGCGACCUGUUUUAGGGACCGGUACCGGACCUAGAGAGCCAGCACCAGAGAGAGAGAGAAGGCCCAGACGUCAGGACUCGGCCGGUUUGAAUGCCUGAAUUUAAAAUUAGGCGGCUGAAAAUUGCCAGGGAAUAGAGACCCAGAAACGAAGGGAAAGGUUUUCGGUGACCUCGGGGACCCUGCUCAGAUGGAAGACUUGGGCCCAGAAGUGCCAAGGCCUGGAAAGCGGCAGAAUUUGGACCUUAUUUGGCAAACGGGGACAGAGACUCUUGCCGGGACGCCUUGGUCGUGCCAGGACCAAAUCCAGAAGACCUACUUAGGCGUGGCGGAUAAACAGUGCUCCGCCGAUUAAGCUGGGAGACAUUGACUUUAUUCGAACCACAUGGUUCCAGUUUUGUGGCAGCAU